rnacentral:lncRNA from 1 species
GUCACUGAUUUGUAAAGUGCGGAGGGGAAGAUUCCAGAGCAGACAACUCAGCUGCCUUUGUGACUGAAACCGAGAGUAAAUGAAGGAAUAUUUAUGAAGUCUCUGCAACUUGCCAGGUGCUUUCACUAUGCAACCCUCCCUGCAGCAGUCCCGAGAAUGUGAUCCUGAGUUUACUUCUGAUGAAAGCAAGGCUCAGAGGGGCCACCUGCCUAAGGGCGUGCAGCUGGAAUGCGGGGAGCCAGGACUCAAGCUCUGGUCUGUCUCAUUCACUUGGAAGCCAGGCCCCUUUCCUCCCUCCCGCUCUGCGUGCAGGAGCUCCGUGGUGGGGCAGCUGCCCCGAGGGAAGGUCCUUCUGACCGCCAGUGUCUGUGGCUGGCUGUCCAGGAAGCAGAGCCAGGACUGGCAGCUUGGGCUCCGAGGACUGCCUCUUCCUCUUGGCUGCCAGGGAGUUUCCAAUCAUCAGAAGAAACAGACUCUGGGAACAGCUCUGCCACUUGUCCCAGCCCUGCCCCAGCCUCUGAGCAACUGGAGCCCAGAUGCCCUGGCCCACCCUAAGCUAUCCAUAAGCACAGGUGGGCCUGAAGGAGGCUCCCUGCUGGGCGUGGGCGAGGGUCUUGGCCUUCUAGGUGGGACCCUGCCUGCCAGGGGACAGCCUCUUAGGUGGGUGGGAAAGAGCUCUGUACUUGGGGUCACAAAUGUGGCUUCUGGCCCUGCUCCACCAAGGGCCAGUGCGUGAUUUUAAAUAGAUCUCUUCGCCUCUCUGAGCCUUAGUUUCUUGGUCUAUAAAAAAAUGGGACCCUAACCUCUCCUCACUGCGGUGUGGGAGGGAAAAUGAGUCAAGGCAAGAAAGUGCUGGAAACUGAAAGCCCUGGGCAGGACCUGCUCCAUAAUUUGCCAAGUUCAGGGCAAAAAUGAAAAGGUGGGGCCGGGCGCCCUGGCUCACACCUGUAAUCCCAGCACUUUGGGAGACUGAGGAAGGCAGAUCACUUGAGGUCAGGAAUUUGAGACUAGCUUGGCCAACAUGGGGAAACCCUGUCUGUACAAAAAAUACAAAAAAUUAGCCAAGCGUGCUGGCGCGCCUGUAGUCCCAGCUUUGCAAGAGGCUGAGGUGGGAGGAUGGCUUGAGCCUGGGAGGUGGAGGCUGCAAUGAGCUAUGACCGCGCCACUGUACUCCAGCCUGGGCGACAGAGCGAGACCCGUUCAAAAAU